rnacentral:rRNA from 1 species
UACGGAGGGUGCAAGCGUUGUCCGGAUUUAUUGGGUUUAAAGGGUGCGUAGGUGGCUUUUUAAGUCAGACCUGAAAGUGGGCCGCUUAACGGCACAGGGUGGUUUGAUACUGAAGAGCUUGAAGAGGGUGGAGGCCGCCGGAACGGAUCGUGUAGCGGUGAAAUGCAUAGAGAUGAUCCAGAACCCCGAUUGCGAAGGCAGGCGGCUACGCCCCACUUGACACUGAGGCACGAGAGCAUGGGGAGCAAACAGGAUUAGAUACCCUGGUAGUCCAUGCCGUAAACGAUGAUAACUCGCUGUUGGCUUUUCGGAGCCAGUGGCUUAGCGAAAGCGGUAAGUUAUCCACCUGGGGAGUACGCCGGCAACGGUGAA